rnacentral:rRNA from 1 species
ACUUUACAAUGCUGGCAACAGCGAUAAGGGAACCUCGAGUGCCAGGUUACAAAUCUGGCUGUCGAGAUGCCUAAAAAGCAUUUCAUAGCAAGGGCCGGGCAAGACCGGUGCCAGCCGCCGCGGUAACACCGGCGGCUCGAGUGGUAACCGUUAUUAUUGGGUCUAAAGGGUCUGUAGCCGGCCGGAUAAGUCUCUUGAGAAAUCUGGCAGCUUAACUGUCAGGCUUUCAGGAGAUACUGUCUGGCUCGAGGCCGGGAGAGGUGAGAGGUACUUCAGGGGUAGGGGUGAAAUCUUGUAAUCCUUGAAGGACCACCAGUGGCGAAGGCGUCUCACCAGAACGGACCUGACGGCAAGGGACGAAAGCUAGGGGCACGAACCGGAUUAGAUACCCGGGUAGUCCUAGCCGUAAACGAUACUCGCUAGGUGUCGGCCACGGUGCGACCGUUGUCGGUGCCGUAGGGAAGCCGUGAAGCGAGC